rnacentral:rRNA from 1 species
AUUAAACGCUGGCGGCAUGCCUUACACAUGCAAGUCGAACGGUAACGGGCCUUCGGGUGCCGACGAGUGGCGAACGGGUGAGUAAUGUAUCGGAACGUACCUUUCAGUGGGGGAUAACGUAGCGAAAGUUAAGCUAAUACCGCAUAUUCUGUGAGCAGGAAAGCAGGGGAUCGCAAGACCUUGCGCUGAUUGAGCGGCCGAUAUCGGAUUAGCUAGUUGGUGAGGUAAAGGCUCACCAAGGCGACGAUCUGUAGCGGGUCUGAGAGGAUGAUCCGCCACACUGGAACUGAGACACGGUCCAGACUCCUACGGGAGGCAGCAGUGGGGAAUUUUGGACAAUGGGGGCAACCCUGAUCCAGCCAUGCCGCGUGAGUGAAGAAGGCCUUCGGGUUGUAAAGCUCUUUCGGCCGGGAAGAAAUCGUAUCAGCUAAUACCUGGUGCGGAUGACGGUACCGGCAUAAGAAGCACCGGCUAACUACGUGCCAGCCGCCGCAGUAACAC